CAGCACCAUUCUGGCAGCUUCAGCUCCUGCAGGGCUGCACCUCCAUCCUGCAGCGUGACAGACAUAAGGCUUUCUGCAGGGUUAAAAAGGAAUGCUUUUGUCCCAAGAUAAGAACGGAAGAAAGCACAAAUCACUUCUAAUGAGCACUGUACUAGAGAUUCUAGGCCAGUGCAAUCAGGGCCUUUAAGAAGAUUUUUUUGUGAAUGUUUUACCUGUGUGUGCCUGAUCUUGUGGAGAUUAAAGGCGUCAGAUCCCCUGAAACUGGAGUUACAGAUGGUUCUAAGUUGCCACAACCAAACUCAAGUUCAUGGAGAGAGCAAUUCAGUCUCUCCUUCCCCACCACCAAGUGGGGGCCCUUUCCUCAGCUGGCUUUUGAGAUGCAAAGGAAUAGCAACAUCAAGUUGGUGCACUUUAACAGAUUCACCACUUCUCUGCUUCAAGACAGAAAUUUAAAAAGUAUGGAAUGAUGACUGAGGUAUGUGCAACCAACCUAGAAGUUACCGUGUGCGAUACAAACUUUACAGAAGUUGUACAAUUACACCUAUAUUUGUACUGAAUUUAAUUUACGCCAUACUUAAUCUAAAUCGAAUUAUGGAAUAAAUAAAAUAUAAAAAG